GGGGGGCCAAUACUGCAGUCGAGCGAGCUUGCCUAGAUGAUUUUAGUGCUUGCACUAAAUGAAACUAGAUACAAGCGAGCGGCGGACGGGUGAGUAACACGUGGGUAACCUGCCCAAGAGACUGGGAUAACACCUGGAAACAGAUGCUGAUACCGGAUAACAACACUAGACGCAUGUCUAGAGUUUGAAAGAUGGUUCUGCUAUCACUCUUGGAUGGACCUGCGGUGCAUUAGCUAGUUGGUAAGGUAACGGCUUACCAAGGCAAUGAUGCAUAGCCGAGUUGAGAGACUGAUCGGCCACAUUGGGACUGAGACACGGCCCAAACUCCUACGGGAGGCAGCAGUAGGGAAUCUUCCACAAUGGACGAAAGUCUGAUGGAGCAACGCCGCGUGAGUGAAGAAGGGUUUCGGCUCGUAAAGCUCUGUUGGUAGUGAAGAAAGAUAGAGGUAGUAACUGGCCUUUAUUUGACGGUAAUUACUUAGAAAGUCACGGCUAACUACGUGCCAGCAGCCGCGGUAAUACGUAGGUGGCAAGCGUUGUCCGGAUUUAUUGGGCGUAAAGCGAGUGCAGGCGGUUCAAUAAGUCUGAUGUGAAAGCCUUCGGCUCAACCGGAGAAUUGCAUCAGAAACUGUUGAACUUGAGUGCAGAAGAGGAGAGUGGAACUCCAUGUGUAGCGGUGGAAUGCGUAGAUAUAUGGAAGAACACCAGUGGCGAAGGCGGCUCUCUGGUCUGCAACUGACGCUGAGGCUC
rnacentral:rRNA from 1 species